GAUUUCUGGCACGAUGUACCUGUCCCGCUGCGGUCAACGCAUGUGAGUGACGGAGUAUGUCUGCCAUCCUUCUAGAGAAUAUAAACUAUCCUUUACUGGACUGGUUUAUAUCAUCUAGAUCUUUUACUUUGAAAAAAUUAGAGUGUUUCAAGCAGGCGUUUUGCUAUGAAUACAUUAGCAUGGAAUAAUGAGUUAGGACUUCGGUUCUAUUUUGUUGGUUUCUAGGACUGAAGUAAUGAUUGAUAGGGAUAGUUGGGGGUGCUAGUAUUCAGCGGCCAGAGGUGAAAUUCUUGGAUUCGCUGAAGACUAACUUAUGCGAAAGCAUU
rnacentral:rRNA from 1 species